GUGAGUACUAGUCUAUGUAGUAUUUCAACUGUAGAGCUUUCUUCACGUAUUUUUUGGGUUUACAUCAGGUGAAAGUUAAACAAAUGUGUUUGGGAAUAUAAAACUAGCAAAGAGGUUGAAGUAGCUGUUGGUAAGAAUUAGAAAUGCUCUUUUCCUCUUAAUCCUUUUCAAAAAUGG